AUUGAACGCUGGCGGCAUGCCUAACACAUGCAAGUCGAACGGUAACAGGCCCUUCGGGUGCUGACGAGUGGCGGAUGGGUGAGUAAUACUUAGGAAUCUACCCUGUAGUGGGGGACAACCCGGGGAACUCGGGCUAAUACCGCGUACGCCCUACGGGGGAAAGCGGGGGACUUUCGGGCCUCGCGCUAUUAGAUGAGCCUAAGUCCGAUUAGCUAGUUGGUAGGGUAAUGGCCUACCAAGGCGACGAUCGGAGCUGGUCUGAGAGGACGACCAGCCACACUGGGACUGAGACACGGCCCAGACUCCUACGGGAGGCAGCAGUGGGGAAUAUUGGACAAUGGGCGCAAGCCUGAUCCAGCGAUGCCGCGUGUGUGAAGAAGGCCUGCGGUUGU
rnacentral:rRNA from 1 species